rfam:Sphaerulina musiva SO2202 unplaced genomic scaffold SEPMTscaffold_7, whole genome shotgun sequence.
GCCCGCUUAGCUCAGGGGUAGAGCGCAUCACUCGUAUACCUGGAUGGCUGUAAAUCACCUGGUUUGGUGGGAUGAUGAGGUCAUUAGUUCGAUUCUGAUAGUGGGCU